UACGUAGGGACCGAGCGUUGUCCGGAAUCACUGGGCGUAAAGGGCGCGUAGGCGGCCUGAUAAGUAGGGGGUGAAAUCUUGCGGCUUAACCGCAAGGCUGCCUUCUAAACUGUCAGGCUAGAGCACAGUAGAGGCAGGUGGAAUUCCCGGUGUAGCGGUGGAAUGCGUAGAGAUCGGGAAGAACAUCAGUGGCGAAGGCGGCCUGCUGGGCUGUUGCUGACGCUGAGGCGCGACAGCGUGGGGAGCAAACAGG
rnacentral:rRNA from 1 species